CGCUGAGGAACCGAAGGGGGCGGUAAUGCACCAAAACGCUGGAUGCCAACCGCCGUAAAACAACAAGAAGAAGAAAACAUGCUGAGGAAGUCUCCUUCAGAACACAUCGCGAUAUUUGGCUUCAGUUCACGUGUGCCAGAUGUUGCUGAAAAGACCAAAAGGGCCUUUCGUUAAUAAAUGGAGGAGACAGAAAGCUGCUAAGGCAAAUAUUUGCAAUGACCAGGACUGGAGAACGCCUGACAAUGGGAUGUUAAGACUAAAAAGCUACAGCAGAAAAAGAAGAAAAAGCUACACCACAUCAGUGAUCACAUAUUCUGGUCAUCAGUUGCACUGUAGAGUACAACUAAACAAACUGUUUAGAAGAAGAACAUGAACAUGAUAGAGACAUUUACAGGGAAGAGCAAGAAACCAGUUUAGCUGUGAAAAUGAAUUUUUAUUUUAAACACAAUAUCAAAUCUGUUUUCUGGAUCAUAGUUGACUGGAUGGGAUUCUGUGGUGCUCAUUUGUGACUUCAGCAGCUAUGAAUGGAUUAAUAUGACGUUAAUGUAUUUUUGAAGACAUUUUUAUCUUCAAUCUCAUUUGUCUUUAUGCAACUUUCAAUGUUAUGCUGUAUCUAUGAAGUGUAAUAAAGUAUGGCAAAUACGGUGUGAA